rnacentral:lncRNA from 1 species
UUGGGGCAUAGGGUUUAGGUUUUAGGGUUUUAGGGUAUAGGGUUUAGGGUAUAGGGUUUAGGGUUUAGGGUAUAGGGUUUAGGGUAUAGGGUUUAGGGUAUAGGGUUUAGGGUAUAGGGUUUAGGGUUUAGGGUUUAGGGUAUAGGGUUUAGGGUUUAGGGUUUAGGGUUUAGGGUAUAGGGUUUAGGGUUUAGGGUAUAGGGUAUAGGGUAUAGGGUAUAGGGUUUAGGGUUUAGGGUAUAGGGUAUAGGGUUUAGGGUUUAGGGUUUAGCGUUCUAGGGUUUUAGGGUUUAGGCGUUUAGGGUUUAGGUUUAGGUUUUAGGGUUUAUGGUUAGGUUUAGGGCUUUAGGUUUGAGGGUUUAGGUUUAGGGUUUAGGGUUUAGGUUUUAGGGUUUUAGGGUUUAGGUUUAGGUUUAGGGUUAGGUUUAGGUUUUAGGUUUUAGUUUAGGGUUUUAGGGUUUUAGGUUAGGGUUUAGGUUUAGUCCGUUUAGGUUUAGGUUUUUAGGUUUAGGGUUUUAGGGUUUAGGGUUUAGGUUAGGUUAGGUUAGGGUUUAGGUGUAGGGUUUAGGGUUAGGGUUAGGUUUAGGGGUUUAGGGUUAGGGUUUAGGGUUUAGGGGUUUAGGGUUUAGGGUUUAGGUUGGUAGGGUUGUUAGGUUUAGGGUUAGGGUUUAGGGUUGGGUUAGUUAGGGUUUAGGGUUUAGGGUUUAGGGUUUUAGUUUAAGGGUUUAGGGUUUAGUUUUAGGGGUUAGGUUUAGGUUUAGGGUUAGGGUUUAGGUUUAGUAGGGUUUUAGUUUAGGGUUUAGGUUAGGGUUUAGGUUAGGGUUUAGGGUUUAGGGUUUAGCGGUUUAGGGUUUAGGUUUUAGGGUUAGGUUAUUUUAGUGGGUUUAUGGUUUAGGUUUAGGGUUAGGUUAGGUUUAGGUUUAGUUUAGGUUAGGGUUAGGGUUUAGGGUUUAGGGUGUUAGGUUUAGGUUUAGGGUUUAGGGUUUAGGGUUUAGGUUUAGGUUUAGUAGGGUUUAGGGUUAGUUUAGGGUUUAGUUUAGGGCUUUAGGUUUAGGUUUUAGGGUUUAGGUUAUUUUAGGUUUAUUUAGUUUAGGUUUAGGGUUUAGUUUAGGUUUAGGUUUUAGGUUUAGGGUUAUGGUUAGUUAGUUUAGUGUUUAGUUUUAGUUUAGGGUUUAGGUUUAGGUUUAGGUUUAGUUUAGUUAGGGUUGUUAGGGUUUAGGUUUAGGGUUUUAGGGUUUAGGGUUUAGUUUAGUAGGGUUUAGUUAUUUAGGGUUUAGGGUUUAGGUUUAGCGGUUUAGGGUUUAAGGUUUCUAGGGUUUAGGUUUAGGGUUUCAGGUUAGCGGUUAGGUAGGGUUUAGGGUUUAGGGUUUAAGGGUUUACGGUUUAGGGUUUAGGGUUUAGGGGUUUAGGGUUUCUAGGGGUUUAGGGUUAGGUUUAGGGGUUUAGGGUUUAGGUUUUGUAGUUUAGGGUUUUAGGUUUAGGGUUUAGUGUUUAGGAGUUUAGGUUUUUAGGGUUAGGGUUUAGGGUUUAGGGUUUAGGGUUUAGGGUUUGAGUUGUAGUUUUUAGGGUUUAGGGUUUUAGGGUUUAGGGCUUUUAGGCGUUUUAGGUUCUAGGUUUAGGGUUAGGGUUUUAAGGUUCUAGGGUUUAGCGGUUUGGGUUUAGGGUUUUAGGGUUUAGGGUUAGGGUUUUAGGUUUUUAGGUUUAGGGUUUAGUGUUUAGGGUUUAGGUUUAGGCGUUUUAGGGUUUAGGUUUAGGGGUUUCAGGGUUUUAGGGUUUAGGUUUAGGUUUUUAGGGUUUAGGGUUUAGGGGUUUUAGGUUUUUUAGGGUUUAGGGGUUUAGGUUUUAUGGUUUAGCGGUUUAGGGUUUAGGGUUUAGGGUUUAGGGUUUAGGUUAGGGUUUUAGGGUUAGGGUUUAGGGUUAGGGUUUAGGGUUUAGGGUUUAGGGUUCUAGAGGUUUAGGGUUUAGGGUUUAGGGUUUUAAGGUUUAGGGUUUAGGGUUAGAGUUUAGGGUUUAGGGUUUAGGGUUUAGGGUUUAGGGUUUAGGGUUUUAGGUUUAGGGUUUAGGUUUAGGUUUAGGUUUAGGGGUUUAGGGUUUAGGUUUAGUUAGGGUUUAUAUGGGUUUAGGGUUUAGGGUUUAGCGGUUUUAGGGUUUAGGGUUUAGCGGUUUUUAGGGUUUUAGGGUUUUAGGGUUUACGGGUUUAGGGUUUAGGGUAGGGUUUAGUGUUUAGGGUUAGGGUUUAGGGUUUAGUUUUUUAGGGUUUAGGGUUCUAGGGAUUUAGGUUAGGGUUUUAGGUUUAGGUUUAGGGUUUAGGGUUUACGGGUUUAGGGUUUAGGGUUUAGGGCUUUAGGGUUAGGGUUUAGGUUUAGGGUUAGGGUUUAGUUUAGGGUUUAGUUUAGGUAUAGGGUUUAGGUUUAGAGGUUUAGGGUGGUUAGGGUUUAGGGUUAGGUUUAGGUUUAGGGUUUAGGGUUUAGGGUUUAGGGUAUUUUUUUUAGGGUUUAUGUGGUUUAGCGUUAGGGUAUAGGGUUUAGUUUUAGGGUUUAGGGUUUUAGGUUUAGGGUUUAGCGGCUUUAGGUUUAGGGUUAGGUUUAGGUUUAGGGUUCUAGGUUUAGGUUUGGGUUUUAGGUUAGUUUAGGUUUAGGUUUAGGUUUAGGCGUUUAGGGUUUAGUUAAGGUUUAGGGUUUAGGGUUAGGGUUAGUUUUAGGUUUAGGGUUUACCUCCGCUCAUGUUUAGGGUUUAGUGGUUUUAGGUUUAUUAGGGUUUAGGGGUUUUAGGGUUUAGGGUUUAGGGUUAGGUUUAGGGUUUAUGGUUUGGGUUUUAGGGGUUUAGGGGUUUUAGGGUUUUAGGGUUUAGGGUUUUAGGGUUUUUUAGGGUUUAGGGUUUUAGUGUUAGGGUUUAGGGUUUAGGUGUAGGGUUUAGGUUUUAGGUUUAGGUUUAGGGUUUAGGGUUUUAGUAGGUUUUAGGGUUUAGGGUUUUAGGGUUUAGGUUUAGGUUAGGGUUUUAGGGUUUGAGGUUUAGGUGUUACGGGUUUAGGUUUAGGUUUAGGUUUAGGGUUUAGGGUUUAGGUUUAGGGUUUUUAGGUUUAGGGUUUAGGUUUAGGGUUAGGGUUUUAGGGUUUAGGGUUUAGGGUUUAGGGAUUUAGGGUUUAGGGUUAGGGUUUAGGGUUUAGGGUUUUAGGUUUAGGGUUAGCGGUUUAGGUUUUAGUCGUUCUAGGGUUUAGGGUUAGGGUUUAGGGUUUAGGUUUAGGGUUUUUAGGGUUUAGGUUUAGGGUUUAGGUUUAGGGUUUAGGUUUAGGUUUAGUUUAGGGUUUAGGGGUUUUAGGGUGUUAGGUUUAGGGUUAGGUUUAGGUUAGGUUUUAGGUUUAUGUUUAGGUUAGGGUUUUAGCGUUUAGGGUUUAGGGUUUAGGCGUUUAGGUUUAGGGUUUUAGGGUUUUAAGGGUUUAGGGUUUUAGGGUGUUAGGGUUAGGGUUUAGGGGUUUUAGGGUUAGGGUUUAGGGUUUAGGUAGGUUUAGGGUUUAGGGUUUAGGUUUUAGGGUUUAGGGUUUUAGCGGGUUUAGGGUUUAGGGUUAGGGUGUAGGGUUUAGGGUUUAGGGUUGUAGGGUUUAGGUUUAAGGUUUUAGGGUUUAGUUUAGUUUAGGGUUUAGGGUUAGGUUUAGGUUUUAGGUUUAGGUUUAGGUUUAGGGUUUAGGUUUAGGGUUUAGGGUUUAGGGUUUAGGGUUUAGGGUUUAGGGUUUUAGGGUUUAGGUUUAGGUUUAGGGUUUAGGGUUUAGGGUUUUAGGUUUAGGGUUUUAGGUUUAGGUUUUAGGGUUUAGGGUUUAGGGUUAGGGUUUAAGGGUUUAGGGUUCUAGGGUUUAGGGUUUAGCGUUUUAGGGUUUAGCGUUUAGGGGUUUAGGGUUUUAGGUUUAGGGUUUAGGGUUUUAGGGUUUAGGGUUAGGUUUUAGGGUUCUUAGGUUUAGGGUUUAGGUUUUAAGGGUUUAGGGUUUUUAGGGUUUAGGGUUUAGGGGUUUUAGCGGGUUUAGGGUUUAGGGUUUAGCGGUUUUAGUUUAGGGUUUCAGGGUUUAGGUUUAGGUUAGGGUUAGGGUUUAGAGGGUUUAAGGGUUAGGUUUAGGGUUUAGGUUUAGGUUUUAGGGGUUUAGGGUUUAGGGUUUUAGGGUUUAGGGUUUAGGGUUUUAGGGUUUAGGGUUUAGGUUUAGGGUUUAGGGUUUAGGGUUAGGGUUUGAGUUAGGUUUAGUUUUGGGUUUUAGGGUUUAGGUUUAGGUUUAGGUUUAGGGUUAGGGUUUAGGUUUAGGGGUUUUAGGUUUAGGUUUAGGGUUUAGGUUUAGGGUUUUAGGGUUUAGCGGUUUCAGGGUUUAGGGUUUUAGGGUUUAGCGGUUAAGGGUUUAGGUUUAGGGUUUAGGUUUAGGGUUUAGGGUUUAGGGUUACGGGGUUUAGCGGUUUAGGGGUUUAGGUUAGGUAGGGUUUAGGGUUUAGGGUUUAGGUUAGUUUAGGUUUAGUGUUUAGGUUUAGGGUUAGGGUUUAGGGUUAGGCGUUUUAGGGUUUAGGGUUUAGGGUUUAGGUUUCUUAGGGGUGUAGGGUUUAGGGUUAGGGUUUUAGGGUUUAGGGUUUUAGGUUUAGGUUAGGGUUCUAGGUUAGGUUUAGGGUUUAGGUUUUAGUUUAGGGUUUAGGGGUUUAGGGUUUAGGGUUUUAGGGUUUUAGGGUUUAGGGUUUAGGUUUUAGGUUUAGGGUUUAGGGUUUCGGGUUUAGGGUUUAGGUUUAGGGUUUUAGGGUUUAGGGUUAGCCGGUUAGGUUUAGGGUUUAGGGUUUAGGGGUCUAGGUUUUAGGGUUUAGGGUUUAGGGUUUAGCGGUUUAGGUUAGGGUUUAGGGUUUAGGGUUUAGGGUUUAGGUUUAGGGUUUAGGGUUUAGGGUUUAGGUUAGGGUUUAGGUUUAGCGGUUUAGGGGUUUUUUAGGGUUUAGGGUUUUUAGUGGUUUAGAGGUUUUUAGCGGUUUUAGGGUUUUAGGGUUUAGCGGUUUAGGGUUUAGGGUUUAGGGUUUAGGGUUUAGUGUUUAGGUUUAAGGGUUUAGGUUAGGGUUAGGUUAGGGUUUAGGUUUAUGGGUUUAGGUUAUAGGGUUUAGUAGGUUUAGGGUUUAGGUUAGGGAUUUAGGGUUUAGGUUUAGUUUUAGGGUUUAGAGUUUAGAGUUUAGGGUUUAGGGUUUAGGGUUAGUUAGGGUUUAGGGUUUAGGGUUUAGGGUUUAGGGUUUAGUUUGGUUAUAGGGGUUAGGAGUUUAGGUUUUAGGGUUUAGAGGUUUAGGGUUAGUGGAUUUUAGGGGUUUAGGUUUAGUGUUUAGGGGUUUAGGGGUUUAGAGUUAGGGUUUAGGGUUUAGGUUUAGGGUUUAGGUUAUAGGUUUAGUGUUAGGGUUUAGUUUAGGGUUUAGGGUUUAGAGAGUUUAGGUUUAGGUUUAGGGUUUAGGGUUUAGGGUUUAGGUUUUAGGGUUAGGGGUUUAGAGGUUUUAGCGUUUAGGGUUUAGCGGGUUUAGGGUUUAGGGUUUAGGAGUUUUAGAGGUUAUGGUUUAUAAGGGUUUUAGGUUUAGAGGUUUAGGGUUGUAAGUUUAGGGUUUAGUGUUUAAGGGUUUAGCGGAAUUAGAGUUAGGGUUUAGAAAUUUAGUUUUAGGUUAGGGUUUAGAGGUUUUAAUGGGGUUUAAGGUUAGGUGUUUAGUGGUUGGGUUUAGAGGUUUAGUGGUUUAGGUAUAGGGUUUCAGUGGCACGGGUUUAUGGUUUCCAGGGUUUUAGGGAUUAGGUUUAGGGCUUUAGGUGGUUUGUUGUGUAGUCUGCCAGGCGCGCGUAUUCAUUUUCUAGAGAUUUAGGGUUUAGGGUUUAGGUUUAGGGUUUAGGUUUAGGGUUUAAGGAUUAGGUUUAGGGUUUAAGGGUUUAGGUUUUGGUUAGGGUUUAGGGUUUUAGAGGUUUAGUGGUUGAGGGUUUCAGGGUUUAGUGGUUUAGGGUUAUAGAGGUUUAGUAUUAGGGUUUAGGUGUUAGUUUAGGUUUUAGGUUUAGGGUUGUAUGAGGUUAGGGUUUAGGACGUUAAGGGCUUUAGGGUUUAGGGGUUUUAGAGGUUUAGGGUUUAGCCGGUUUAGGGUUUAGGGUUUUGACGCGUUUAGCGGGUUUCAGGUUUAGGGUUUACGCGGUUUAGAGGUUAUAGGUUCUAGGGUUUAGGUUUAGGGUUUAGCGGUUUAGGGUUUAGGGCUUAGGAGGUUUAGGAGGUUUAGGGUUAGUCAGGUUUAGGGUUUUUAGGGUUUAGAGUUAGGGUUUAGGGUUAGUGGUUUAGGGUUUAGGUUUUAGGCUUAUAGGGUUUAGGUUUGCAGAGGUUUAGGGUUAGGGGUUUAUUCAACCGUGGUUUAGGGUUUAGGGUAUUAGGGGUCUUAGUGUUUAAUGCGGUUUACGGGUUUUAGAGUUAUAGGGUUUUAGGGUUUAGGGUUUUAGGGUUAGGAUUAGGUUAGGGUUUAGUGGUUUUAGGUUAGGGUUUAGGUUUAGUGGUUAGGUUUAGGGAUAUUGGUUUUAGGUCUAGGAGGUUCUUAGGUUUUAGGGUUUAGGGUUAAGGGUUUUAGGUAUUUUUAGGUUUUUAGGUAUUUAGGGUUUUAGGGUUUUGUUUUUAGAGCUUUAGGGUUUUAGGGUUUAGGGUUUAAGGGGUUUUAGGUAGGUUAGGGUUUAGGUGUUAGGGUUUAGGGUUUAGGUUUUAGGUUAUAGGUAUUAGGGUUUAGGGUUUAGGGUUUAGGGUUUGAGGGGAUUUAGCGGUUUAGGAUUUUUAGGGUUAUAGGGUAUUAGGGUUUAGGGUUUAAGGUUUAGGGUUUAGACUUGGGUUUUUAGGUUUAGGGUAGGGUUUUAGGGUUUUAGGGUUGUUUAAGGUUUUGAGUUUUAGGGUUUUAGGUUUUAGGUUUUAAGUUUUAGGGUUUUAGGGUUUUAGGUUUAGGGUUUUAGGGGUUUAGGGUUUAGGGUUUAGGUUUAAGGGUUUAGGGUUUAGGGUUUAGAGGUUUUAUGGGUUUAGGGUUUAUUGGUUAGGGUUUAGGGUUUAGGGAUUUUAGGGUAGUUGGUUAUAGGUUUAGGUUUUAGUGGUUUAGGUGGUAGUUUUAGGGAUUUAGGUAUUAGGGCUUAGGUUUAGUUUAGCGGGUUUAGGGUUUAGGUUUAGGGUUUAGGGUUUAGGAUGUUAGGGUUUAGGCUUUAGAGUUUUAGGUUUAGGGUUUAGUGGAUUUAGGGUUUAAGUGGUUUAGAGGUUUAGGGUUUAGGGGUUUAGGUUUAGGGUAUUAGGGGUUUAGGGUUCUAGGGUUUAGGUGUUUAGAGGGUUUUACGGGUUUAGCGGUUUAGGGUUAAUAGGGUUUUAGGGUUUAGGGUUUAGGUUUAGGGUUUAGGGUGUUAGUUUAGGGUUUAGGGUUAGGUUUAGGUUUAGUGGUUUAGGGUUUAGGGUUUAGGGGGGUUUUUAGGGAUUUAGUGUUUUAAGGGUUUUAGGUGUUUAGGGUUUAGGUGUUUAGGUUUUAGGGUUUAGGUUUAGAGGUUUAGGGUCUUAGGGUUUAGGGUUUAGGGUUUUAGGGUUAGGGUAUUUAGGUUUUAGGGUUUAGGGUUAGGGUUUAGGGUUUACGGUUUAGGGUUUUAGGGUUUAGGUUUUAGGGUUUAGGGUUUAGUGGUCUUAGUUUAGGUUAGGGUUUCGGGUUUAGGGUUUAGGUUUUUAGGGGUUUAGGUUUAGCGUUUAGUUUAGGGUUUAGGGUUUAGUGUUAGGGUUUAGGGUUAUAGGUUUAGGUUUAGGUUUAGGGUUUAGGGUUUAGGUUUAGAGGUUUAGGGUUUAGGUUUAUGUAGGGUUUAGGGUUUAGGGUAUAGGUUUAGUUUUCAGGUUUUUAGGGUUUAGGGUUAGUAGUUUAGGGUUUAGGGUUUAGGGUUAGGUUUCAGGUUUAGGUUUUAGGGUUUUAGGGUUAGUGAGGUUUAGAGGUUUAGUGGUUAGGGUUUAGGUUUAGGGUUUAGGGCUUUAGGUUUUAGUUCGGAAUAUUAGGGUUUAGGGUUUAGGGUGUUAGAAGGUAUUAGGGUUUAGGGUUUUGAGGCGGUUUAGGGUGUAGUUUAGCGGUUUAGGGUCUUUAGGGUUUUAGGGUCUUUAGGUUUUAGGGUUUUAGGGUUUAGAGGUUUAGGGUUAGCUGUUUAUAGGUUUAGGGGUUUAGCGGUUUAGGGUUUAGGGGUUUAGGAGUUUAGGGUAGAAUUUAAGGGGUUAUUAGGGGUUUGGGUUUAGGGUUUAUGUGGCUUUAGGGUUUUAGCGGUUUAAGAAGAGUUUUAGGGUUUAGGGUUUAGGUUUUAUGGGUUUAGGGGUUUAGCGGUUUAGAGUUUAGGGUUUGAUGUUUAGGGGUUUAGUUUAGGGUUUAGUUAGGUUUUAGCGUUUAUGGUCUUAGGGUUUUUAGUGGUAUAUAGGUUUGGUUUAGGUUUUAGUUUAUUGGUUUAAGGGUUUAGGGUUUAGGGUAUUAGGGUUUCAGGAGGUGUUAUUUUUUUUAGGGUUUAGUUUAGAGGUUUAGGGUUUUAGGUUUUAGUGGGUUUAGGUUAGCGGUUUAGGGUUUUAGGGUUUAGGAUUUAGGUUUAGUUAGGUAGUGGUUUAGGGUUUAGGGUUUAGUGUUUAUGGGUUUAUGGAUUUAACGAGUUUAGCCCUGGUUUAGGGUUUAGGUUUAGGGUUCUAGGGUUUAGGUUUAGGGUUUUUUAGGGUUUUUAGGGUUUAGGGUUUUAGGUUCUAGGUUAGGGUUAGGGUUUAAGGGGUUUUAGGGUUUAAGGAGAUUAGGGUUUUAGAGUUUUAGGGUUUAGUGUUAGGGUUUUAGCGCGUUUAGGGUUUAGGGUUUAGGGUUAGGGUUAGCCGGGUUUAGGGUUUAGGUUUUAGUCGAGUUUAGGGUCUAGAAGAGGUUUGAGGGGUUUAGGGUUUAGCGUUUAGGGUUUUAGGGUUUAGUAGUAUAUAGGGUUUAGGGGUUUAGGGUUUAGGGUUUAGGGUUUAGAGGGUUUAGGUUUAGGGUUUAGGGGUUUAUAGUAUCAGAGUUUAGUGAAUUUAGGGGUUUAGGGGUUUAGAGGGUAUUAGGGUUUAGGGUUUAGAGGUUUAGGGUUACGGGUUAUAGAAGGUUUUAGGUUAUAGGUAUUUGUAGAUUAUAGGGUUUAGGGUUUAGGGUAUUAGUUUAGGGUUAGGUUAUAGUAGUUUAGGGUUUAGGGGUUUUAGGGGUUUAGUGGUUAGAGGUUUAGGGUUUUAGAGGGUUAUAGGGUUAGUGUUUAGGGUUUAGGUUUAGCGGGUUCUAUGGGUUUAGGGUUUAGACGGUUAGGGUUUAGCGUUGAGGUUUAGGGUUAGGGUUUUAGGGUUUUAGUAGGUUUAGGGUUUAGGUUUACGGUUUAGGUUUAGGGUUUUAGGGGAUAGGGUUUAGGGUUUAGGUUUAGGGUUUAGGUUUAGGGUAGGUUUAAGGUUUAGGAUUUAGGGUUGGAUUUUAGGGUUUUAGGUUUAGGGGUUCUAAGGUUUUAGGGGUUUAGAGGUUUAGGGUUUAGCGUUAGACUGGGUUUUAGGGGUUUAGGGUUUAGGUUUAAGGGUUAGGUUUAGGGUUUAGGUUUAGGGUUUAGGGUUUAAGGUUUUAGGGUAGUGUUUUACGGUAGGGUUUAGAGGUUUUAGGGUUAGGGUUUAGGAGUUUAGGGUUUUAGAGUUUAGGUUAGGGUUUAGGGUUUAAGGGUUAGAGGUUUAGGGUUUAGGGUUUAGGGUUUAGGGUUUAGGGUUUAGGUCUCGUAGUGAAUUUAGGUGUUAGGUUUAGGGUUUAGGUUUUAGGGGUUUAGAGGGUUCUUAGAAGGUUAGUUUAGGUUAGGGUUAUAUGCAGAGAUUAGGGUUUGUUAGCGUUUAAGUUUAGGUUUAGAGGUUUAGGGUUUAGGUUUAGGGUUAUAGGGUUUUAGGGUUUAGGGCUAUAGCGGUUUAGGGUUAGGGGUUUUAGGGUUUAGGAAUUUAGGAUUUAGGUUUAGGUUUAGGUGUUUAGGGUUUAGGGUUUAGUUAGGGAUUUUAGGUUUAGGUUUAGGUUUAGGUUUAGAGGUUUAGAGAUUAGGUUUAGGGUUUUGAGGGUUUAGGUUUAUGGGUUAGGGUUUAGGGUUUAGGUGUUUUAGGGUUAGGGUUUGUUUAGGGUUUAGUUUUAGGGUUUAGGGUUUACAGGUUUAGGUUUAGCCAGGUUUAAGGUUUAGUUUAGGGUUUAAGGGUUUAGGGUUUAGGUUUACGAGUUAGGGUUUAGGUUUAGGUCUAUAGAGGUUUAGGGUUUAGGGUUUAUGUUUUAGGUUUAGUAGUUUAGGUUUAGAGGUUUAGGGUUGGGUUUUAGGUUUAGGUUUAGGGUUCUAGGGAUUUAGGGUUUAGGCGGUUUAGCGCGUAUAUAAGGUUUUCACGCAUUUAGGUGUUGGUGGUUUAGGGUUUUAGUGGUUGUUAGGUUUAGGUUUAGGGUUUAGGGUUUAGGUUUUAGGGUUUGUAGGGUUUAGCGGUUUAGGGUUUUAGGGUUUUUAGGUUUUUAGGUUUUAGGGUUUAGAUUGUUCAGGGUUUUUAGGUUUUAGGGUUAGGUUUAUAGUUUAGGGUUUAGGUUUAGGGUUCAGGGUUUUAGUGGUUUUAGGGUUAGAUUGGUUUAGUGGUUUAGGGUUUUAGGGGUUCGUAGGGUUUAGCGGGUUUAUGGGGUUUAGGGUUUUUAGGUUUUAGGGUUUAGGUUUAGGGUUUAGGUUUAGGAUUUAGUGUUUGUAGAGGUUUUAGGCGUUUUAGUGGUUUAGGGUUUAGCGGUUUAGGGUUUAGGGUUGGUAGUGGUUAGGUUUAGAGGUUUAGGGUUAUAGGGUUUUUAGCGGUUGUGGGUUGUAGCGGUUUAGGGCGGUCUUUAGGGUAUUACGGGUUCUUAGGGCUUUAGGGUUUAGAGUUAGGGUUUAGGGUUUGGGUUUAGGGGAUUUAGUUUUAGGGUUUUAGGGUUUAGGUUUAGGUUGUUUAGGGUUUAGGGUUUAGGGUUAGGUUUAGGAGUUUUAGGGUUUAUGUGUUUAGGGUUUAGGGUUUAGGUUAGUGAUUUAGGGUUUAGGGCUUUAGGGUUUUAGGUGUUUUAGUGUUUAGGUUUGGGUUGUGUAGCGGUUUAGGGUAGUGGUUUUAGAAGGUUUAGGGCUUUAGGUUUAGGGUUUAGGGUUUUAGGGAUUUAGCGGUUUAUGGAUUUUAGGUUGGGUAGUGAUUUAGGUAUAGGGUUUAGGUUUUAGGGUUUAGGUUUAGGGUUUAGGUUUAGUGUUUAGGGUUUGAGGGGUUUAGGGGUUAGGAGUGGUUUUAGCGGUUUAGGGUUUAGGGUUUAGGGGGUUUAGGGUUUAGGGGUUUAGUUUUAGGUUUAGUUUUAGUGGUUAGGGUUAGGGUUUUAGGUUUUAGGGUAUUUAGGUUUUAGGGUUUUAGGGUUUAGGUUUUAGGUUUUAGGGUUUAGGUUUAGGGUUUAGGGGUUUACGUUGGGGUUUUUAGUAGGUUUAGGUUUCGGGUUUUAGUAGGUUUAGGGUUUAGUUCAGGAGGUUUAGGGUUUAGUAGGUUUAGAGUUUAUGGGUUUUCAGGGUUUAGGGUUUAGGGUUUAGGGUUAGGGUAGGGUUUAGCGGUUUAUGGGUUUUUAGGGUUUAGGUUCUUAUUUAGUUUAGGGUUUAGGGUUUAGGGUUUAGGUUUAGGUUAGGGUUUAGUGUUUAGUUUUAGGUUUCAGGGUAGGGUUAGGGUUUAAGGGUUUUAGGGUUUAGGGUUUAGGUUUAUUAGGUUAUAGGGUUAGGGUUUUAGGGUUUAGGGUUUAGGGUUUAGGGUUUAUGUGGUUAGGGUUAUAGGGUUUAGGGUUUAGCGGUUUAGGGUUUAGGCGUUUUAGGGGUUUAGGUUUAGGGUUUGAGGGUUUAGGGUUUAGGGUUUAGGGUUUAGUGGUUUAGGGUUUUAGAGCGUUAGGUUUUAGGGGUUUAGGGGUUUGAGGGUUUUAGGGUUUAGUGUUAGGGUUUAGGGUUUUAGGGUAUUAGGUUUAGGGUUUAGGUUUAGGGUCAGAAAACCUAUUUAGGUUUAGGGUUAUAGGGUUUAGGUGUUACGAGGGUUUAGGGUUCUAGAGGUUAGCGGUAGUUAGGGUUUAGCGGGGUUUAGGGUUUAGCUGGUUUAGGGUUUAGCGGUUUAGGGUUGUAGUGGUUUAGGGUUUAGAGGUUUAGGGUUUAGGUUUAGCGGUUUAGGUUUUAGCUUUUAGGGUUUAGAGGUUUAGGGUUUAGGAUUUAGGUUUAGGUUAGGGUUUAGAGGUUGUAUGGUUUAGUCGUGUUAUAGGGUUUUAGGUUUAGGCGGUUUAGGUUUAAGGGUUUAGGGUUUAGGUUUAGUUUAGGGUAGGUUAGUGUUUAGGGUUUAGGGUUUAGGGUUUAGGGUUUAGCGGUUUAGGUUCUCUCAGGGUUUAGUGGUUUGUGGGGUUAGGUUUAGGGUUUAGGGUUUAGGGUUUUAGGUUUUAGUCCGGUUCUUAGGGUUCUAGGUUUCUAGGGUUCUCAGAGGUUUAGUGGUUUAGGGGUUUAGGUUUAGGUUAGCGUUUUAGGGUUUUAGGUUUAGAGUUUAGGGGUUUUAGGGUUAGCGGGUUUAGCGGUUCUUAGUAGGUUUUAGGGUUUAGGGUUUAGGUUAGGGUUUUAUGGGUUUUAGUGGUUUAGGGGUUAUAGGGGUAUAGGGUUUUAGGGUUUAGGGAUUUAGCGGUUUAGGUUAUUAGGUUUUAGGUUUAGGGUUUAGGGUUUAGGCUUUAGGGGUUUAGGAUUUAGGGGUUUAGUGGUUUAGGGUUUAGGUGGUUUAGGGUUUAGGGUUUAGUUUAGGGUUCUAGGGUUGUAAGCGGUUUAGCGGUUUAGGGUUUAGGGUUUACAGGUGGUUUGAGGUUUUAGGGGUUUAUUGUUGUUUCAGGUGUAGGGUUUAGAGUUUAGCCGGUUUAGGGUUUUAGGGGUUUAGAGGUUCAGUUGGGUUUAAGGAGGUUUAGGGUUUAGGGUUUGGGGUUCUUUAGGUUUUACGGGUAUUAGGGUUUAGGUUUAGGGUUUAGUUAGGGGUUUAGUGGUUUUUAGGUUUAGGGUUUAAGUUAGGAUUUAGGUUUAGGGUUUAGUUGGUUAUAGGUUUUAGGGUUAGGUUUAGGGAUUUAGGGUUUGAGGGUUAGGGUUUAGGGUUAGGUUGAGUGGUUUAGGGUUUAGGGAGGUUUAGUGGUUUACGCGGUUUAGAGUUUAGGUUUAUGCGGUUUUAGAGUUUAGGGUUUAGGGUUUUAGGUUUUAUGUGGGAUUGUAGCGUUAGGGUUUAGGGUUGAUGGAUUUGUAGGGGUUUAGCGUUUAGGGGUUUAGGGUUUAAGGUUAGGGUUUAGGUUUAGAGGUUUAGACUACCUAGUAGGGUUUAGGUUUAUGUGGUUUAGGGUAUAUAGGGUUUAGGGUUUAGGUUUAGUUGGUUUAGAGGUUUAGAGGUUUUAGUGGUUUAGGCGUUAGGGCUUUAGGUUUAUGGGGUUUUUUUAAGGGUUUAGGGUUUAGUUUAGUGGUUUUAGGGUUUAGGUUUAGUGGUUUAGAGGGAUUUAGGGUUUUAGUUUAGGUGUCUGUAGGGUUUAGGGUUUAGGUUUAGGGUUUAGAGUUUUAGGUUUAGGUUUAGGGUUUAGGGGUUUAGGGUUAUGGGUUUAGGGUUUAGGGUUUUGUGAGAGUUUAGGGUUGGUUAGGUUUAGGGUAUGAGGUUUAGGGUUUAGAGGUUUUUAGUGGUUUAAGGUUUACUGGUUAUAAGGGUUUAGGGGUUUUAGGAGGUUUUUAGGGUUUAGGUUUAGCGGUUUAGGGUUUUCAGGGUUUAGGGUUUCUAGGAUGUUAGCGGUUAGGGUUUAGGGUUUAGCGGUUCUAGAGCGUUUCAGGUCUUUAGUGUCUAGGGUUUUAAGAGGGUUUAGGGUUUAGGUUUAGGGAUAGGGUGUUUAGGUGGUGGUUAGUGGUUUAGGUUUAGCGGUUUAGGGUAUUAGGGUUUAGGUGUUAGUUAUUAGAGUUAGGAGUUUUUAGAGCGGUUUAGGGUUUAGGGUGUUAGGGUUUAGUAGUUUUAGGUUUAGGGUUUUUAGGGUUUAGGUUUAGUUUAGGUUAGGGUUUAGUUAGGGUUUAGGUUUAGGGUUUAUGGUUUUAGGGGUUAGUGGUUUAGGGUUUAUUUAGGGGUUUUAGAGGUUAGGGUUUAGUCGGUUUAGGUUAAGGGUUUAGUCGGUUUAGGUUUAGGGUUUAGGGUUUAGGUUUUAGGGUUUAGGGUAUUAGGGUUUUCAGAGUUAGCGGUUUAGGGUUUAGGUUUGGGUUUUUUGGUUGUAGGCGUUUAGGGUCUUAGGGUUUCAGGGUUUAGGUUUAGGGUUAGGCGUUUAGUGGUUUUAAGGUUUAGGGUAUAUAUAGAGGUUUUAAGUGUUUAGGGUUUUAGGUUUAAGGUUUAGGGUU